AGAGCCUCUGUCAGCUGAAGAAGAACACUCGUGGCUGUGGCUGUGAUGUGGUCCUUUGUUCCAGGAGUUCAUCCCUGGAUGGUGAUGUGGAGAGGCAAUGAGAUCAUUAAGAGACAGAGCCUUGUGGCAAACCUUCCAAGACCCAACCUGCCUUCACCAGAAGUUCUACAGACUGUGCUGCCACACAGCCCAGAGAUCAUUCCUAACAAAUGCUCCUUUCAUCCUUAUUCAGAGAGGAUUCCCUUUCCAUUGAACAUCAGUGAAUGCUGAGACUUAUGGCUAUACAAGGUGUCGUGAGUGAACCGUGGUGUGUCUAUGUGUAUUCCCCAUGUGUACAGGUGCCAUGGAAGCCAGAGGAUGGCACUGAUCCCUAGAGGAUGGCACUGGAUCCCCAGAGGAUGAAACUGGAUCCCCACAAGUUGACACUGGAUCCCCACAAGAUGUCAUUGGAUCCCCACAAAAUGACAUUGGAUCCCCAGAAAAUGCAUUGGGUUACCUGGAGCUGUAGUUAUAGGCAGUUGUAAGCCACCUACAUGGGUGCUGGGAACCAAACUUGGGUGCUCAUAACCAUCAACCCAUCUCUCCUGACCCUUAUUUAUUUUAAAGUGUGUGUGUGUGUGUGUGUGUACCUGUGUGCACAUAAGUGUACAUGCUCAUAGAGCGAUUGACUCUUCCCGCGCUUUACCACUAGGCUAUCUCUCCAGCUCCUAAAGCUAUUAUUUAAAAUAAAAAUAAUUAUUUUA
rnacentral:lncRNA from 1 species